CCUGCCUGACACCUGUGGUCACCCUCCAUUUUGACUGCCCUCCUCUCUUUCCAGAACGUCCUCUUUUUCCUUCCCUCGUCUGCCCUCGAAGGAAUCCUGUCACCUCUCCAGGGGCCUUUUCCCAAAGGACUUGUGAACAAGCAGGCUAUGUCCUUUGGAAGUCUGAUCAUUCUUGUGCUCUUUGGCAUUUCUUCCAACUUUUCCACAUCUCUCUUGAGCUGCUGGUACUUUAGAUGAAGCCUUACUGGUGUGAAAUGGUUUGGACAGAUUCCUGUGUCUUCUGUGCGAUACUCCUGUUAAGUGCCUUGGUAUCAUCUUUGCUUUGCAGCUGUACGAUAUUGUUGACUCACGCUGUGCUUGUAAAUGAAAUAACAACUUGGGCUUCAAUUCUGUUUGUGGUAUUUCACAUGCAGAAACAAAGCAAGCUGGCAUUUAGCAUCACUCUUGCUAAUCUCAUGUCUCAUUCUCCUACUCAAGAAUUUAACGCAAGUAGCCUUUUAUGGAGGGAAGUAUUUAAAUGCUGCCCAUCAGUGAGGAAGAGUGUUUGGGAGCUCAACAGAUCCCUCAGUGGUUGUCCUGAAUUUCUGAAUUUCUAAUGUCUCAGAAGACUCAUUAUUAAUACCCAAAAAUAGCCAGAUGGCAUGAAACAGUAAAGGCCAAAUAAUUCAUCAUUCUACAGACUUGCGAUGGACUGGCCCCCAGAAAAAUCCACAAUGGUUGAAAAUCUUUUCAUGUGCUGCAGGAGACAGCUCAUGCUGGGGCACCCAGCUCAGGUGCUUGUGAAAUCAGCUGUUAUUUCAUGUAAGCCCAAUAGUUGUGGUGUUAUUUGUAUUAUUUUAAUUCUUUCGUUUCAAGCUGAUGACCAGUUUGGAGGUUACUGAGUUGCCUGUGCUACAUGAUGGUGCUAGACAUAGUCUUGAUGAAGUCCUGUUUAUUUAUGAAGCAUGAAAAAGUCUUCUUUCCUAGAAUGCUGGGUUAAGUAAAGCUCAGACUUUGCACAGUGCUUUGACCAAGGCCAGUGUUUUGACAAAUAUAACCAGCAAAAGUGCACUCUCAAAGUUUCCUCUUGCAUCAGCAGACACAAAAAGGCAUUUUCCUUUCUCCCUCUGUCCCUGACAUGUGCACGUGUUUGGGUUUUAUCUCUCACACAAACACAAAGCUCCAGAUUUCAAAUGCCCUUUUUGCACUUUCUGUGUCAGCCUCAAGGGAAGCCAUGCGAAUAAUGUGCAAUGUACAGAAGCUUUGCUAUGUGCCUGUCAUUGUUUCAGCUCUCUGAUUCUAGACAGAUAUUUGUUAGUCUUUUUGUGUUUAUUUUAAGGAACAGUUAUGGUUACCCACCAAUUUCUGUGAAUUUCCAUGAAACAGAUCUUCAUUCCAGCUUAGCAAGACAUUCACACCAGUAAUUUGAACACUGUUUUUACCUAAACAUUUCCAAUAACACAUUUUGAGGGUGCGUCGUUCUUUUUAGGGUCUUCAUAUUUCCUUGUUCUGAAAACCAGCCUUCCUCCCUGGUAUACUGAGCACAUAUGCUUGCUGCCUGGACUGGUUUUGUACAUUUUAUCUUUGUAUUUAUUUCCUUGUGUGAAAAUGGGCAUUUUGAACAAUAGGAUACCAUGUGUGGCACAUGGUGAGAUCUGAAAGCCUUAAUUUUAAAAACAAUUACAUCCUAAAUGCAUCUGUCAAGCAAGUGGAAAACCUCUAUGUCAAGUAGGGCUGACAAAAGAGAUGAAGAUGUAAUUGCUUCUGGUUUAGUCUAUUUUCUUCAUGAGGUUUAAAGCCUUUCCUGGUGGUCCUUGGGUGGUUCCCUGCAUCCCACUGACUUGCUCCAAUGGACUGAAUAAAUCAUUUUAUCUUUGUGCACAGAUAAUGGCAGUUUUUACCUCCACUGGGUGUCAAGAGGCCAAUGUGCACAGUGUAUGUCAACUACAAGAAGUUGCUUAUUAUGGUCAUUGCAGGCAAAAUGCCAGGAGCUGCUAAUUGGA